GUAGGUGGCAAGCGUUGUCCGGAAUUAUUGGGCGUAAAGCGCGCGCAGGCGGUUCUUUAAGUCUGAUGUGAAAGCCCACGGCUCAACCGUGGAGGGUCAUUGGAAACUGGAGAACUUGAGUACAGGAGAGGAAAGCGGAAUUCCACGUGUAGCGGUGAAAUGCGUAGAGAUGUGGAGGAACACCAGUGGCGAAGGCGGCUUUCUGGUCUGUAACUGACGCUGAGGCGCGAAAGCGUGGGGAGCAAACAGGGAUUAGAUACCCUGGUAGUCCACGCCGUAAACGAUGAGUGCUAAGUGUUAGGGGGGGUUUCCGCCCCCCUUAGUGCUGCAGCUAACGCAUUAAGCACUCCGCCUGGGGAGUACGGCCGCAAGGCUG
rnacentral:rRNA from 1 species